rnacentral:rRNA from 1 species
GAUGAACGCUGGCGGCGUGCCUAAUACAUGCAAGUCGAGCGAACGGACGAGAAGCUUGCUUCUCUGAUGUUAGCGGCGGACGGGUGAGUAACACGUGGAUAACCUACCUAUAAGACUGGGAUAACUUCGGGAAACCGGAGCUAAUACCGGAUAAUAUUUUGAACCGCAUGGUUCAAAAGUGAAAGACGGUCUUGCUGUCACUUAUAGAUGGAUCCGCGCUGCAUUAGCUAGUUGGUAAGGUAACGGCUUACCAAGGCAACGAUGCAUAGCCGACCUGAGAGGGUGAUCGGCCACCCGGGAACUGAGACACGGUCCAGACUCCUACGGAAGGCAGCAGUAGGGAAUCUUCCGCAAUGGGCGAAAGCCUGACGGAGCAACGCCGCGUGAGUGAUGAAGGUCUUCGGAUCGUAAAACUCUGUUAUUAGGGAAGAACAUAUGUGUAAGUAACUGUGCACAUCUUGACGGUACCUAAGCAGAAAGCCACGGCUAACUACGU